rnacentral:sRNA from 25 species
GUGAAAUAAAUCACAAGAUAACAUACACCCCUUUGUUUGAACGUGAACAUUUCUCCCAUCCCCUUUGUAAAAAGAUAAGGCCUUUUCCUCAAUUGGAGGAAUGGGCUUU